rnacentral:rRNA from 1 species
UAGGGAACCUUCGGCAAUGGGGGCAACCCUGACCGAGCAACGCCGCGUGAGUGAAGAAGGUUUUCGGAUCGUAAAGCUCUGUUGUAAGAGAAGAACGUGUGUGAGAGUGGAAAGUUCACACAGUGACGGUAACUUACCAGAAAGGGACGGCUAACUACGUGCCAC